UCCUGGCUCAGGAUGAACGCUAGCGACAGGCUUAACACAUGCAAGUCGAGGGGCAGCAUAAAAGUAGCAAUACUUGGUGGCGACCGGCGCACGGGUGAGUAACGCGUAUGCAACCUACCUAUCAGAGGGGAAGUAACCCGGCGAAAGUCGGACUAAUACCGCAUAAAACAGGGGCACCGCAUGGUGAUAUUUGUUAAAGAAAUUCGCUGAUAGAUGGGCAUGCGUUCCAUUAGGUAGUUGGUGAGGUAACGGCUCACCAAGCCGACGAUGGAUAGGGGGACUGAGAGGUUGGUCCCCCACACUGGUACUGAGACACGGACCAGACUCCUACGGGAGGCAGCAGUGAGGAAUAUUGGUCAAUGGGCGGGAGCCUGAACCAGCCAAGUCGCGUGAAAGGAAGAAGGAUCUAUGGUUCGUAAACUUCUUUUGCAGGGGAAUAAAGUGCAGGACGUGUCCUGUUUUGUAUGUACCCUGAGAAUAAGGAUCGGCUAACUCCGUGCCAGCAGCUGC
rnacentral:rRNA from 1 species